GAUAGACGACGAUAAAUAGAUUUGUACGAAAAGAAAAGAAGCUAGAAGCGAAGCGUGGAAUAUCGGUAUUUGCCGAGCUGUGAGAACAUCUAAAUUUUUGAAUGGAUGAAAAUAUCUUACAACAUGCACAGGCUGUCCUAAGAUACUAUGAAAGGAGGAUUGUUAGAGAGUCUAACUCAACAGGAAUAUGCCAACCAGAACUGCAGUUAGGAGUCAUUGGCAGGAGGAACCUUUGUGACUUGUACGAAGAUGAAGCUUUCAAGCACAGAAUUGCUUUUCCAAAGAGACCACACGCUACCUCAUCAUCAUGCUUGAAGGUGAUCUGAGCCUGAGGAGGGACGAAGGGCCUAGUGAUCGACUACCUUUGUUUCUGCAAGUAUUGACAAUUCUGCGUUUGUAUGCUGAUAAUUUCAGGGAAUACAGGGUGAUGAGGCAUCAGUGUUGCAAUCAUCUGUUUGUUGAGUAAUCAGAUGUUUCGCAAGCCAUAGCCAGAAGAAAGGUUUUGUGAGAACUUGAGAUUGAGGCUACCCAACAACAACUGUUUGAGUACCAGUACAGUACUACAGGAAUUCAAGAGUCAUAGGUGUGUUCGAUGGGACCCAUGUCUACAUAUCCUGGAGGGAAACAAGCUUUGUACUUUCUUGAUGGGCAAGUCCACCCAACAAAAAGUUUAUUUUGAUAUAAUAGAGAAAACUCCAAUGAGCAUAACACUAAAAAUUUGAUGUAAAAUGAGAAAGUUCUGACAUCUUGAAGUUUCGCUUAUUUUCACUAAACGGAUAUAUAUGCACAUCCUGGUCAUUAUGCAAAUGAGUGACCAAGUGACGUUCUCCACUCACUGUUUCUUUUUUGUAAUAUAUCAUGAAAUAUGAUUUUUUUUCUCAUAAUGGCUAAUACAGGUGUAUGGUUUGAUUUCUCCCUGAAACUUGUGUAAAAAGACAAUGUGGCAACAUAUACUCAUUUGUGAAUUCUGUAAAAAAUCAAGUAUUAUAAUAUAUUUCAUAUAUUGAUAUACAGAAGAAAGAGUGAGUGUGUGACAUCAUAGACUUGUUUGCAUAUCACCUGUUGUGUGCAUAUAAGUGAUUUUUGCGAGUACCGGUAAUUAAUUUCUUAUUUUACAUCCUAUUUUGACGUUUUCAGUGUCAUGCAUGUUUUAUUUUUCUCUAUCCAUUCACAUUAACUUUUUGUUGUACAGUGGACUUGCUCUAGAACAGGUAUUUUCUGUAAUGUACAUGUAAGAAUUUCAUUAUUCAUUUGUGUCUUCUUUUUAACACCUUCUUUACAGAGGGGGGGGGGGGGUUGAA